GGCAGUUCUCGAGCGACACACCCCAGAAUUGGGCUACCUCCUCUCUGGUUCCAGGUGUGUCACCUGAGAAUCUCA
rfam:Myotis davidii contig165632, whole genome shotgun sequence.